rnacentral:rRNA from 1 species
AACGGGCACCUUCGGGUGUCAGUGGCGGACGGCUGAGUAACACGUGGGUGACCUGCCCUCGAGCGGGGGAUAACUGCCCGAAAGGGUGGCUAAUACCGCAGACUCGUGAGUUCGCUCUUACGACUGAACCUUUCGUGGGGUUCGAGGAGGGGCCCGCGGCCGAUUAGUUAGCUGGUGGGGUAACGGCCUACCAGGGCAGCGAUCGGUAGCUGGUCUCAGAGGAUGAUCAGCCAGACUGGGACUGCGAGACGGCCCAGACUCCUACGGGAGGCAGCAGUUAGGAAUUUUGGGCAAUGGGCGAAAGCCUGACCCAGCAACGCCGCGUGGGUGAUGACGGCCUUCGGGUUGUAAAGCCCUUUUCCCAGGGAAGAUGAUGACGGUACCUGGGGAAUCAGCCCCGGCUAACUACGUG